rnacentral:rRNA from 1 species
GGUUAAGUGACUAAGCGUACAUGGUGGAUGCCUUGGCAGUCAGAGGCGAUGAAGGACGUACUAACCUGCGAUAAGCCGUGAGCAGUCGGUAAGAGACAUUACGACUCACGGAUUUCCGAAUGGGGAAACCCACUCAGCAUAAGCUGGGUAUCUGUUACUGAAUACAUAGGUAACAGAGGCGAACCGGGAGAACUGAAACAUCUAAGUACCCCGAGGAAAAGAAAUCAACCGAGAUUCCCUCAGUAGCGGCGAGCGAACGGGGAUUAGCCCUUAAGCAUCUUGGAAGUUAGUGGAACGGUCCUGGAAAGGCCGGCGAUACAGGGUGAUAGCCCCGUACACGAAAACAACCUUGAUGUGAAAUCGAGUAGGGCGGGACACGUGACAUCCUGUCUGAAUAUGGGGGGACCAUCCUCCAAGGCUAAAUACUCCUGACUGACCGAUAGUGAACCAGUACCGUGAGGGAAAGGCGAAAAGAACCCCUGUGAGGGGAGUGAAAUAGAACCUGAAACCGUGUACGUACAAGCAGUGGGAGCCCUUCGGGGUGACUGCGUACCUUUUGUAUAAUGGGUCAGCGACUUACAUUUUGUAGCGAGGUUAACCGUAUAGGGGAGCCGUAGGGAAACCGAGUCUUAACUGGGCGUCUAGUUGCAAGGUGUAGACCCGAAACCGGGUGAUCUAGCCAUGGGCAGGUUGAAGGUUGAGUAACAUCAACUGGAGGACCGAACCCACUAACGUUGCAAAGUUAGGGGAUGACCUGUGGCUGGGGGUGAAAGGCCAAUCAAACUCGGAGAUAGCUGGUUCUCCCCGAAAGCUAUUUAGGUAGCGCCUCGGACGAAUACUACUGGGGGUAGAGCACUGUUUGGGCUAGGGGGUCAUCCCGACUUACCAACCCCAUGCAAACUCCGAAUACCAGUAAGUACUAUCCGGGAGACACACGGCGGGUGCUAACGUCCGUCGUGAAGAGGGAAACAACCCAGACCGCCGGCUAAGGUCCCAAAGUUCUGGUUAAGUGGGAAACGAUGUGGGAAGGCUCAGACAGCUAGGAUGUUGGCUUAGAAGCAGCCAUCAUUUAAAGAAAGCGUAAUAGCUCACUAGUCGAGUCGGCCUGCGCGGAAGAUGUAACGGGGCUCAAACCAGGCACCGA